rnacentral:rRNA from 1 species
AACGAACGCUGGCGGCAGGCUUAACACAUGCAAGUCGAACGCUCGUAGCAAUACGGGAGUGGCGGACGGGUGAGUAACGCGUGGGAACGUGCCCUGAGGUACGGAAUAACUGAGGGAAACUUCAGCUAAUACCGUAUGAGCCCCGAGAGGGGGAAAGAUUUAUCGCCUUGGGAGCGGCCCGCGUCGGAUUAGCUAGUUGGUGGGGUAACGGCCUACAAGGCUUCGAUCCGUAGCUGGUCUGAGAGGACGAUCAGCCACACUGGGACUGAGACACGGCCCAGACUCCUACGGGAGGCAGCAGUGGGGAAUCUUGCGCAAUGGGGGCAACCCUGACGCAGCCAUGCCGCGUGAACGAUGAAGGCCUUAGGGU